rnacentral:rRNA from 1 species
AAGUCUUCGGAUGGAUAGAAGAACCCCUGAUGCCGUCGAGCCAAGAAAAGUUUCUAAGUUUAGCUAAUGUUGCCCGUACCGUAAACCGACACAGGUGGGUGGGAUGAGUAUUCUAAGGCGCGUGGAAGAACUCUCUUUAAGGAACUCUGCAAAAUAGCACCGUAUCUUCGGUAUAAGGUGUGGUUAGCUUCGUACUAGGAUUUACUCCGAAAGCGAAGAAACUUACAACAAAGAGUCCCUCCCGACUGUUUACCAAAAACACAGCACUCUGCUAACUCGUAAGAGGAUGUAUAGGGUGUGACGCCUGCCCGGUGCUCGAAGGUUAAUUGAUGGGGUUAGCAUUAGCGAAGCUCUUGAUCGAAGCCCGAGUAAACGGCGGCCGUAACUAUAACGGUCCUAAGGUAGCGAAAUUCCUUGUCGGUUAAAUACCGACCUGCAUGAAUGGCGUAACGAGAUGGGAGCUGUCUCAAAGAGGGAUCCAGUGAAAUUGUAGUGGAGGUGAAAAUUCCUCCUACCCGCGGCAAGACGGAAAGACCCCGUGGACCUUUACUACAGCUUGACACUGCUACUUGGAUAAGAAUGUGCAGGAUAGGUGGGAGGCUUUGAGUAUAUGACGCCAGUUGUAUAUGAGCCAUUGUUGAGAUACCACUCUUUCUUAUUUGGGUAGCUAACCAGCUUGAGUUAUCCUCAAGUGGGACAAUGUCUGGUGGGUAGUUUGACUGGGGCGGUCGCCUCCCAAAUAAUAACGGAGGCUUACAAAGGUUGGCUCAGAACGGUUGGAAAUCGUUCGUAGAGUAUAAAGGUAUAAGCCAGCUUAACUGCAAGACAUACAAGUCAAGCAGAGACGAAAGUCGGUCUUAGUGAUCCGGUGGUUCUGUGUGGAAGGGCCAUCGCUCAAAGGAUAAAAGGUACCCCGGGGAUAACAGGCUGAUCUCCCCCAAGAGCUCACAUCGACGGGGAGGUUUGGCACCUCGAUGUCGGCUCAUCGCAUCCUGGGGCUGGAGCAGGUCCCAAGGGUAUGGCUGUUCGCCAUUUAAAGCGGUACGCGAGCUGGGUUCAGAACGUCGUGAGACAGUUCGGUCCCUAUCUGCCGUGGGCGUAAGAAGAUUGAAGAGAUUUGACCCUAGUACGAGAGGACCGGGUUGAACAAACCACUGGUGUAGCUGUUGUUCUGCCAAGAGCAUCGCAGCGUAGCUAAGUUUGGAAAGGAUAAACGCUGAAAGCAUCUAAGCGUGAAGCCAACUCUAAGAUGAAUCUUCUCUAAGCUCUCUAGAAGACUACUAGUUUGAUAGGCUGGGUGUGUAAUGGAUGAAAGUCCUUUAGCUGACCAGUACUAAUAGAGCGUUUGGCUUAUCUUU